rnacentral:tRNA from 2 species
GCCAAAGUGGUGGAAUUGGUAGACACGCCAUCUUGAGGGGGUGGUGAGCACAGCUCGUGCGGGUUCGAGUCCCGCCUUUGGCACCA